AGAGUUUGAUCCUGGCUCAGAACGAACGUUGGCGGCGUGGAUUAGGCAUGCAAGUCGAGCGGGAUUAGCUUUAUUCAAUUCUUCGGAAGAGAAAAUUGCUAUGAGAGCGGCGAACGGGUGAGUAAUAUAUGGGUAAUUUGCCUCUUUGUUCGGGAUAGCCAUCGGAAACGAUGAUUAAUACCGGAUGUGAUCGGUCACUGCAUAGUGACCUCUUUAAAGGUGGGGAAUCUUCGGAUCCUAUCGCAAAGAGAUAAGCCCAUACCCUAUCAGCUAGUUGGUGAGGUAAUGGCUCACCAAGGCUUACGGGUAGCUGGUCUGAGAGGAUGGUCAGCCACACUGGGACUGAGACACUGCCCAGACUCCUACGGGAGGCUGCAGUCGAGAAUCAUUGACAAUGUACGAAAGUAUGAUCAUGCGACGCCGCGUGGAGGAAGACGGCCUUCGGGUUGUAAACUCCUGUCAGCAGGGAGGAAAGGCAGCACUACUAAUAUCAGUGUUGUUUGACAGUACCUGCAGAGGAAGUCACGGCUAACUCUGUGCCAGCAGCCGCGGUAAUACAGAGGUGGCGAACGUUGUUCGGAUUUACUGGGCGUAAAGGGUCCGCAGGCGGUCCGGUGUGUCGGAUGUGAAAGCCCACGGCUUAACCGUGGAAUUGCAUUCGAAACUACCGGACUAGAGUACUGGAGGGGAGAAGGGAACACUUGGUGUAGCG
rnacentral:rRNA from 1 species